rnacentral:rRNA from 1 species
UACGGGGGAUGCAAGCGUUAUCCGGAAUCAUUGGGCGUAAAGCGCCUGUAGGUUGUUUAAUAAGUCUGUUGUUAAAGACUGGGGCUUAACCCCAGGAAAGCAAUGGAAACUAUUAGACUUGAGUAUGGCAGGGGUAGAGGGAAUUUCUAGUGUAGCGGUGAAAUGCGUAGAUAUUAGAAAGAACACCGGUGGCGAAAGCGCUCUACUGGACCAUUACUGACACUCAGAGGCGAAAGCUAGGGUAGCAAAAGGG